rnacentral:rRNA from 1 species
GAUGAUCGCUGGCGGCGUGCCUAAUACAUGCAAGUCGAGCGAACGGCCGAGAAGCUUGCUUCUCUGAUGUUAGCGGCGGACGGGUGAGUAACAUGUGGAUAACCUACUUAUAAGCCUGGGAUAACUUCGGGAAACCGGAGCUAAUACCGGAUAAUAUUUUGAACCGCAUGGUUCAAAAGUGAAAGACGGUCUUGCUGUCACUUAUAGAUGGAUCCGCGCUGCAUUAGCUAGUUGGUAAGGUAACGGCUGACCAAGGCAACGAUGCAUAGCCGACCUGAGAGGGUGAUCGGCCACACUGGAGCUGAGACGCGGUCCAGACUCCUACGGGAGCCAGCAGUAGGCAAUCGUGCGCGAUGGGGGAGGACCGGACGGGGCAGCACCGAGUGAGUGAUGAUGGUCGGCGGAUCGGAAAACUCUGUUAUUAGGGAAAAACAUAUGUGUAAGUAGCUGUGCACAUCUUGACGGUACCUAGUCAGAGAGCCACGGCUAACUACGUG